GUUGCCAUGCAGAAUGUCUGUUGGUCAGUUGGGCACAUCUGCACACAUUUACAAUAUCUGCCACCUCUUUUAACCCUCAACCCCGCCCCACAAAAUGAGUGAUGGUGCUUGUUGAUUUGCAGAUUCACAGUCUGGUGAGACAAGUUUGAGAUCUCAUAUUUUCAGCUCAUCCUUGAAAACCUUUCUUCGAUUUGACUGACCUUGAUGGCUCCCUGGAAUCUCACCUACAUUUUAUGGGAAAUUCAACUCUCCAGAGAGAAGAGCUUUCAGAUAGCUACGGGACUUGCAACUAUGACUUUCAGCUUUCGCUUUUGAAUGAGGCUCCAAAUGUCUCAAUGGUGGCACUAUUUCCAGAUUUGGGACAUUAAGUUUUGCAAAAUUAAAUGACUACAUUUACAGUCAUGGAGGAGAGACAUUGCCUCAACUCGGUUUCUUCUGAUGUGUCUUUGAAACAGAGCCCUGCAAAGCUAAUCUGCUCAACCUUCACCUACUGGGUUCAAUGAAUAUGAAAAGCUGCCUUCCUGAAACUUUUCCUUCAAAGAGGGAAUGAUCUCCUGGAAUUCAAGCUUCUACAGGAGAACUGUGUGCAGGCCCAAGGAGAACAACUACAUGAGAUAAACCUUAUGUUUUCAGUUACAAUAA
rnacentral:antisense_RNA from 1 species